rnacentral:lncRNA from 1 species
AUUGUUCAGGUAAAUUAUUGUUUGUCUUUCUCUUUUCUUUGUGGUUCAGUUUUUUUCCCGCUCCCUUCCUGUCUUUGGCUUUGUGAGGCAGGUAGGAUUGUGUAGUGAGUCUCCAGCCGUUGGGUGUCUGCACUCACCCCUCACUGCUCACCACAUGUGCAGAAAUGGAUGCGGGUUUCAGAUGAAAUAAACCACACGUGUUUAUAGACUCUGACCUAGAGAGACUGUGGCCCAAAUAGUUAAUCUGCCUGAGAAUUUGCCAUAGGUUGACGUCCUUCAGACUUGACAAGGAUGGCCCUGACUGCUGCAGUCUGUCCUUUAAGUAGAGAGCUAGCUCAGGAUAUUCCCUAGUCCACGGACACAGAAUCCUGGACCCAUACACAUGAGUGUUUGGGUAGUGCUAUUGGAGCAUCUAUAAGGACUCUGGGAUCCUCGGGGGGCGGGGGGCACGACACGCAUCUCCAGGCCUGCUGACUCUGCUUUCCAUCCCUCUUCAGUUCUCCCUCCUGCUACUUUCUUGCCUUCUUUGAACCUGCCUCGCUGAUCUUUCUUCCCACUUUCUUUUUUGUGCUCCAUCGAGAGUUGGGGGACCAUGUUCCUGCAUACUCUUGUCAGUACUGGUAUAAACUGCCUUGAGUACAUUUAUUGAAGGCUGCUGUUUACUAAAGGUUUCCAUCCAUCUAUUCUACAUAUGCUGAUAAACCUCUAUAAGCCCAAGAAAUAUAAUGGAAGCCACCCUUUGAUGUCAGUUUGUGUGGUAAUGGUGGUGGUGGUGGUAGAUAACAUCUUGUUUAGUUUCGUAGCACUACCUCUGUGGAAUAAUCCUUAAAUGAAUCCUGACAUUUGAAUUAUCUGGUUGUACUUAGCAUAGUCUGUGAUUAUACUGUAGUUACCUGUUUGUGUUCCCCAUUAGAUGAUAAGAUCUUCAUAGGAGGAGAUGAGACCUUCUUCCCUUCCUCUGGCCACAGCUCCUUCACAUACACAGUGUGCUCUUGUAAUAUAUGUUCAUUUAGUAAUGGACUACUUUCUGUAUCUUGGCUAUCUUUAUGUCUGUGAAACUUCAUCUGUUUCUUUCUUUUUAAAUUAACUUUAUGCAUGUAUGUAUGUAUGUAUGUAUGUAUGUAUGUAUGUAUUUAUUUAAUAUAUGAGUACUCAGACACACCAGAAAAGGGCAUCGGAUCCCAUUACAGACGGUUGUGAGCCACCAUGUGGAUACUGGGAAUUGAACUCAGGACCUCUAGAAGAGCAGUCAGUGCUCUUAAUUGCUGAGCCAUCUCUCCUGUGCACUUCACCUGUUUCUAAUGCUCAUAAUAAUCUUAACUUUUAUGGAACCUUAACCUCAUUGACUGAAUUACCCAGAAUUGCAUUUGGGUCCAACACCAGUGUCAGAAGCUGCAGCCAGUGAUCUUUCACCGUGUGCCAAGUGUGUGCUGCUCAAUGGCUUGGCUAUCUAUUAAUUUAAUGUUAGGGUGUUUUCUCCCCCCCCCUCUUGUUUUUGUUUUUGUUUUUGUUUUUGAGACACGGUUUCUCUGUGUAGCCCUUGCCUUUCUGGGAUUUGCUCUGUAGCUGGCUAGGCUGGCCUUGAACUCACAGAAAUCCAUCUGCCUUUGCCUUCCACUGAUCACUGGGAUUAAAGACCAUUGCUGAGGCUUUGUCUUUUUAAAAUACCAUCCUUUAAAGAUUUUCUUUCAGUGAGUUUAGCACAAAGGUGUACGUAGAAGAAAAAGACUGAUGAGGGAAAUGGAAGGUGGUGUGUAGCACAUGUGACGUGUAUAAACAUUCUGUCAUCAUGGAUGCAUAUAUUGACAUAUGCAUCCUAGACCUUCUAGCAAGUAAGAACUGAGGAAGCUAUUCUCCUUUUAUAUAUGUUGGUGAGAAUAGUUGGUAAGCUACAAGGGUUUCCUGACCUUAGAAAUCAUGCUUAACUAGCAGAAAGGGCAUGGCAGUGGGGCAAGACACCUGAUUUUCUGUCAAAGCUCUACACUCGUUAUGUGACCUUAAAGGAAGCCUAAUCAGGCUGCUUAGCUGUACAUAUGGAUACCUGGAGAGCCUUCUAAAUUAUGGGGAAGGCUUCAAGAGACAUGUAUAUGAAAGGACUUCACAGUGGGGGGCAACCUUACUAACUCUACCUCCAAGUGCAGAGACCCUUUUUAAUUUUAGUAUUGGAGACCAUUGCUAAGUUGUCCAGGCUGUAUCAGUCUCCCGAGUACUAGGGUUACAGGCAUGUACCACCACACCUGGCUGAUGCUUCUUUUAAAAAACAUUUUAUUAUUGUGUAUGCAUAAGCAUGAGGUGUAUAUGUGUGAGUAUGUGUAUUCGUGUGCGUGCGCAUGCAUGUGCUUAUGUGAGUGAACUCACUAUGUAACUCAGGCUGGCCUCAAACUUGAUGUUCUCCCUCACCCACCCACCCAGGUUGCUUGGAUUAUAGGUAUGUGCCACCAUAGCAAGCCUUCAGGGACCUGCAUUUUAUAAAGCAAAAUCAGCACAGAUGGUGUGGGAAAAGUUAACUUUUUUCCUCAUGAGUUUUGCAUAUGUUUAUUUGUAAAGCUAUUUGCAUGUAUAUACAUUUAUUUUUAGAGGCCUAACAUUCAGUUGCUUUUAGCCCAUAGAUAUGUGAGUCAUUCUUUGAGGGACAUGGUACAAUGUAUUUGGAAAAUAUGGGCAGUAUUAUGAUGUUUAGUCUGAUCAGACCUUUGUAGCUAUAGAGAGAACCUCUGCUUCCACCCCAGCCCUGGGUUGGGUGUCCCAGUAGAAUGAGACUGGCAGUUAAUGUGUGUGAUCAUUGAAUAUUCUGAUUAAUGUUUCAUUGUUUUAGGGUGUUCUGUGAGAAGAAGAUUUUUGAUUCUUGGCAAAGCUGGUGGUUUUAACCAUUAAUUGAAUAAACCAUGUUUCCUUCUAGGUUGGAUUGUUGUUUAUUGAAUUAGUUGACAGUGGGGGAAAACCUGUUGGUCAAGAAUGAGUUCCCCUCUGUUAAGUUUCUGCUUCAUCACAAUUGCUUAACAGGAAGUUUGUCUUUGUAGGCAAAUGAGAGACAGACUAGGAAGACCUGACAAUCCAGUUGCUGUGUCUAACCUUGGCCUUACUGUUUUAACAAAUGUUAACUUUUGUGUAGGGUUUUGUGAUGUCAGCAGGAAGAUUGCUUAGGAAAUUCCCUCUAAUGGCUAGGCAACAUAAAGGCUUCACAGGCCAGAGUGUAGUGAGGUAGAAGUUGGGACAUUAUC